CUAAUACAUGCAAGUCGAACGAGAGCGACCGGUGCUUGCACUGGUCAAUCUAGUGGCGAACGGGUGAGUAACACGUGGGUAACCUGCCCAUCAGAGGGGGAUAACAUUCGGAAACGGAUGCUAAAACCGCAUAGGUCUUCGAACCGCAUGGUUUGAAGAGGAAAAGAGGCGCAAGCUUCUGCUGAUGGAUGGACCCGCGGUGCAUUAGCUAGUUGGUGAGGUAACGGCUCACCAAGGCCGUGAUGCAUAGCCGACCUGAGAGGGUGAUCGGCCACAUUGGGACUGAGACACGGCCCAAACUCCUACGGGAGGCAGCAGUAGGGAAUCUUCCGCAAUGGACGCAAGUCUGACGGAGCAACGCCGCGUGAGUGAAGAAGGUUUUCGGAUCGUAAAACUCUGUUGUUAGAGAAGAACAAGUGCUAGAGUAACUGUUAGCGCCUUGACGGUAUCUAACCAGAAAGCCACGGCUAACUACGUGCCAGCAGCCGCGGUAAUACGUAGGUGGCAAGCGUUGUCCGGAUUUAUUGGGCGUAAAGCGAGCGCAGGCGGUUCCUUAAGUCUGAUGUGAAAGCCCCCGGCUCAACCGGGGAGGGUCAUUGGAAACUGGGGAACUUGAGUGCAGAAGAGGAGAGUGGAAUUCCAUGUGUAGCGGUGAAAUGCGUAGAUAUAUGGAGGACACCAGUGGCGAAGGCGACUCUCUGGUCUGUAACUGACGCUGAGGCUCGAAAG
rnacentral:rRNA from 1 species